UUUCACCGUGAGCGCGUCAACGGAGAGGAGGGGCGGGGCAAAGAAAAGAGGAAGAACGGCCUACGUCACCGUUUCAAACCCCGCCCUCUUCUCUCUCUCUCUCCCCCCCUUCCCGUUCGCAUUGAGACCAAAGGGAAAGGCAGACGUGUACGGGGGGAGAGAGAGGGAGGGCGGAGGGACACACUGCGCAGGCGCCGCCUCAUAGUGAACAGUCACUGCCGACGUCACUUGCCAUUCUGGCUCAUUUCCCGCCUCCACCCGCGGCGCUUUCCUUUUCCACUCUCCACCCCUUCCCUCUUCAAAAUCCCACAAAGGGAGGGGAGAAGGGAGCGUAGGGCGCGCGUAUACAUUAAUUAAUACAGGAGUGUAUUUUGACUGUGUUGUCGAAGGCUUUCAUAGCCGGAAUCAUUGAGUUGCUGUGAGUUUUCCGGGUUGUGUGGCCAUGUUCCAGAAGCAUUCUCUCCUGACGUUUCGCCAACAUCUAUGGCAGGAAUCCUCAGAGGUUGUGAGGUCUGUUGGAAACUAAGCAAGGGAUGUUCAUAUAUCUGCGGAAUCUCCAGGAUGGGAGAAAGAAAUCUUGUCUCUGUGAAUGUUGCAAUUAAUCACCUUAAUUAGCAUUGAAAAGCCUUGCAGUUUUAAGGUCUGGUUGAUUCCUGCCUGGGGGGAAUCCUUUGUUGGGAGAUAUUAGCUGGCCCUGAUUGUUUCCUGUCUGGAAUUCUUUUUUUCAGAUUGUUCUUUAUUUACUGUGCUGAUUCUAGAGAUUUUUUUAAAAUAAAUAAAUAAAUAAAUACUGGUAGCCAGAUUUUGUUUAUUUUCAUGGUUUCCUCCUUUCUGUUGAAAUUGUCCACAUGCUUGUGGAUUUCAAUGGCUUCUCUUCUCCAACAGACAAGAGUUCUUUCUCCCACUCUGGACCUUCCACAGAUAUAUAAACCUCCCUUGCUUAAUUUUCCAAUAUACCUCACAACUUCAGAGGAUGCCUGCCAUAGAUGUGGGCAAAGCAUCAGGAGAGAAUGCUUUUGGAAUAUGGCCAUACAGUCCAGAAAACUCACAGCAACCCUAUUUUGACUGUGUUUCUUAGUGAGUUUCAUUCUGGGGAGAACCAAGUGGAAUAGCGAAGGUAAGAAGAGCCACUCAAUUCAAAUAGUCCAUUGGUUACAGCACUUGCGUUACAGUGCUGUUGACAAUCUCCUCCCUCCCUUUUCCCCUGACUUACCAAAGGACAGGUUGAGUGUAUCCCUUAUGGGAAAUGCUUGAGACUAGAACUGUUCUGGGUUUUGGUUGAGCUUGGGUUUUGGACUUAUUUGCAUAUACUGGAAGCAAUGCCUGUAUGCCAUUUUUCUCCUGAAACUGCUACUCCCAGUGUGAAACUCUUACACCACCACUAUAGAAUCAUUCUUCCUUCAGGCCUGACAUAAUUUCUGGGUGUUGCAUAAUGUGGAGCAGGAACAGAGAAGUCAUGGGGUUCAUCCCCAAAGAAAGUCAUAGAGGAAGAGAGUUGGAAGAAGGUGGUGAAACCAGUGUUGAAGACCCAUUGAAAGGGACAUCAAUAGCCGUCACCAAUGAAAACCAGAAUGGGGUGGAGUACAUCAUUCUCGCUGAGAGACUGCUGAAGAACUGGGCUGCGGUCAAAGAGUGAUUGAGCAAAUUGUCUUCAAGAUUGGAAUAUGUGUGCCAAUGUUUGAGACACCCAAGUGUUGCAAGGAAUAAGUGUGUGGGCCCUGAACUUCCUGCUUACGUGAACAUGUUGUGCUUCUGAGAUAUAAACAAGGAUAAACCAGUUGGCUCUUUCACUCAACCAGUUGGCUCUUUCGCAGAAGGAGGCGGCUUACAUUCUGGAAGUGAUAAGAGGCAUGUUUUCCCCGGAGGCAGUUUCCCCUGUGAUCCAGGGCUUUCUGAACUCUCUGUGGCUUUUGAUUUGCAUAUAUGAAGAACGGUAUUAAUCCAAGAAGGCUGGAAGAAGUUGAUAGGAAGCAAAAAAUUGCCAUGGCUAAUUAGACACUUGCCUCCGUUUUAUCUGAUAAAUGGCCAUGUAAACAAGAGGAUGGCCAUUGUUUGGGGUGUGCAAAGAGGCAGUUAAUCAUCCUGGGAACAUUGUAAGGAAGACCAGAAUAUAAAUCAACAAACAAAUGAGCAAACAAAUCAAUGAAUGAAUGAAGGAAGGAACAACUACAACAAUGCAUUAUUUGAAGAGCUGGUGCGGCACAAGUCAAGUUGAAAUGUAAAUACCCAUGAGCAGAAACAGCAGGAAGAAGCUUUGGCAUUGCCCAUUCACAGUUAGCACCAGGAUGGCAGAUUCAGUGGAUGCAAAGGUCACCUGCUCAGUCUUUCCUACUAUGAUGAAAUGUACUAUAUCUAUUUAAAUGAUAAUAUUUCUUUCCAGGAGGGCCAGUGUAGUGUAGUGGUUUGAAUGUUGGACUAAGACUCUGGUCAGCUUAUAUUAAACAUUUAUAUCUUGCUUAUUUCUCCCCUUUUCUGCUCUCUUUCCUUCCCUUUAUUUGUAAUUAUACUUUAGAAAUCCCAUAAAAAAGUUCAUAUCCUGACUGGAGACUCCCCACAGAGUUAAGUGGCUCUUUUUUUAAACUAGUCUUUGCAGCUGUGCUUUUAUUAGUAGCGUGGUGACAUUAGCAGGUGAUACAGUUGAUCUCUGUGAUGUGAAAAGUUGCAAUUGCCAAUUAUUGCAGAGCAUGCAGUGAUUGAAGGCAAAGGCUAGGAACUUUUUUCCUCCUAGUCGUAUGGUGGUUUGAAUGUUAGACUAGGAUGCUAGUUCGAAUGCCCGCUCGGCCAUGGAUUUGAAACCCACUGGUGACCUUGGGCAAGUCACACUUUCAACCUAAGAAGACACAGACAACAUCCCUCUGAACAAAUUCUGGCAAGAAAAUCCAAGAAUAGGGUUGCCUCCAGGACAUCAUAAAUUAGAAAUGGCUUGAUGGUACUCAACAACAAAACAUUCUUUCACUGAGGUUGAUGGAAUGCCUCCAAAAACACCUCCCUCCCUCCCUCCCUCCCUCCUUCCUUCCUUCCUUUAAAAAAAAUCUUAUUUAUGGAUUGGUUUUAACAGAAAGUGUAAUUCACAAUUAAGGUUAAGAGAAAACAAAGACAAAAAACAAGAGUGAAAAGAAAAAUCUAUUCACAUAUAAAAAUAAACAUGUAUAUAAAACAAAGACUGAAUCUGAACUAAAGCUAAAACACAACACCAAACCACAAAACUAAAAGAAUAAACACUAAAUAAAACACCAACACAAAAAUUUUUGACCCCCCCCCCCGCUCUAUCUAAAUUGUAAUGAAAAACAUGAAAUUCACGGGGGAAUAUUAUUUUACCAAAAGAGCUCCAACUAAAAAGCAUAAUAUAAUUACUAAUAACUAUAAUCAAAAUUAUAUCAUUAGAUUUUGUAUGGCUCAAAAAGCACAUAAACUGCUUCCAGUCUUUUAGAAAAUCUUCAGUUGGUUUAUCCUUUAUAGCCCAUGUUAGUUUGGAUUAACUUGGCAACCUUAGCAAUCUAUUCUUUUGUUGUCAGUAUCUUGGACUGUUUCCAGCUUUGAGCCAACAGUGAUCUUGCUGCUGUUAUCACAUAUUGAAUCCAAAGGCACAUUUCUGAAAGGCAAUUGUCUGUCAUUUUUUUGGGUUUAGUUCAGCUAAAAAUGAAUCGAAAGAGAGGCCUGGCUUAUACAGCUUCCCAUAUUAUUGAAGCAGCAGCUUGUUGGCAAGCUGAGGACAAGAGUUUCAUUUCUCCUGUCCUGGCCCUCUGGUUGCCAAAUACAUUUUGCACAGUUUGCCAGAUACGGCAACAAAAGUCAUAAACACAUCAAUUGGUAUAAAUAAAAGAGGACUGUUAAGAUCAUAUUUUAAUGUGUGAUGUUUUGUUGUUGUUUGUAAAGCACAACAUGAUCUGAAAAUAAAUUGAGAACAAUUGAGAACAAAGAUCCCUACUUUCUUCACUGAGCCAGAGAAGCAGUUAGCUCAGUGGGCAGUGCAGUUACCAGAUCUGAGCCAACACCAGUUUGUGACAAAAGAGAUUGUUGAAACCUUCUGGCAGGGAAAUGAAAAGGGGUGACAUGAGAUGAAGCGAUUGUGCUUCAGGACUGGGUUGGUCUAGAAAGAAAAAGAGUGUCCAAAGCAGCAGAGGGUUUGGGGUUUAUUUUUAAAAAGCAUGUCUUUAAUAGCUAAAAUUAAAGGAAGGCUUAUGAAUACAGUGAGAAGUGAAUCUAAUAUAUUGGGCUAAGAAAAACAUGAUUAUUUAAUUUGCCAUGCUCUUCACACUGCUUUAAGAAAUGAGAUUUUUUUGGGGUGGGGGCAGUAUUUAUUUGAGCUCUUUUUGAAGAAGGCAGUUUAUAAUAUUACAAUGUUUAUCAACAACAACAGCAACAACAACAGCCAGAAUUCUAUAUGGAAUUGCAUUAUGUAUGCAAACUAAGCAAAUUUAACUUUGGUUAGUACUUGGAUGGGAGACUGCCAAUGCGUUCUGGGUGUGCCCAGCUAUAUUUCAAAGGAAGGAACAGGCAAAACCUCUGAAUAUUCCUUGCCUAAGUAAGCCCUUUGAAAUUAAUGGGGUCACCAUAGGUCAACAGGGAACUUGAAGGUACAUACACACACCCAGAAGCACCACAGUGAAGGUGCUACAUUCUGAAUCCUGCUCAGUUGUGCCAAUCCACACUUAACAGGAAUUAGCUAGCUACUGAAACUUAUGGGGACUUGUUUCCCUGUUGUCCACAGAGCAGGUGAUUGAUGAUUCCACCCCCAAUGUGAACAAUUUCCAGUGUGACAAGCAUAAGUGGGGUCCUUAUCACAAUUCCUACUUAUGUGAGCAGAAUGGGGACUUCAGUCAGUUGCUUCCUGAUCAAGAGGAGAACAGAUCCUUAUUGACAGCUGCAGCUGCUACCCAGUAAACAGAGCCGGCCCUAGGUAUUUUUCAAGUGUAGGCGAACAGAAUUUUGGUGCACCCCCCCCAAACAAUCACUGAAAAAUAAAAGCGUUGGAUAAGCAAAAAUGUUGGAUAAUGAAGGAUUAAGGAAAAGCCUAUUAAACAUCAAAUUACAUUAAGAUUUUACAAAUUAAACACCAAAACAUCAUGUUUUACAACAAAUCAACAGAAAAAGCAGUCUCGACUGCGCCCCCGUAUGUUUGGUGCCCGAAGUGACCACUUAAUUCGCCUCAUUGUUGGACUGGCUCUGCCAGUAAAUAGGAGAUUUAGUGAUCCUACAAUAGGCAUUAGGCAAGGAUCAUGAAUAUGUAACAUUCACAAGUGCAUAACUCUAGGUAGCACAUCCGUAAUCGUAAUAGAGGGUUCUGGCCAACAACCACAACUGUAUUAUUACAAAACAAAGCUUUUGCGAUAUUUGAGUUAAUUUACAAGCAUUCAGACUGAGCAGAGUUGGAAGGCACACCAUAUAAAUUCCAAAAGAAAACUAUGUUUAAUGUCCCAUAGUGGACUUUCAGAGAAACAAUUACUCCCUCACAGCCCCAUUCUGGGAGAAAGGCAGUGUGUACAUCUAAUAAAAUAAAAUAAGCAAUUACAGUUUCUAGAAGAAUAAUGGGAAAGUCUUGGUUCUCCAGAUGGUUGGAUGAUAUGAUAAUAUGAUAGGUAAAGGUAAAAGUUUCCCCUGAAGUCUAGUUGUGUCCGACUCUGGUGGGUGGUGGCCAUUUCCAUUUCUAAGCCAAAGAGCCAGCGUUGUCCGUAGAUGCCUCCAAGGUCAUGUAGUUGGCAUGCCUGCAUGGAGCGCUGUUACCUUCCCACCAAGGCGGUGCUGACUGAUCCACUCACAUUUGCAUAUUUUCGAACUGCUAGGUUGGCAGAAACUGGGGCCAACAGCGGGAGCUCACCCUGCUCCCUGGAUUCGAACCAAUAUCCUUUCGGUCAGCAAGUUCAGCAGCUCAGCGGUUUAACCUGCUCCACCAGUGGGGGGGGGCGGGCUGAUAAUAUGAUAAUUGUAUAUUAUAUAUUACAUAUAAUAUUACUAAUAAUAUUGCAAUAUAAUGUGCUAUUAUUUUUGAAGUAGAUGUGGAUUUGUCUUUGGGAUUUGGGGGUUGGUUAUUUCUGUCUUUGUUCAGCCUGGCAAUGAAUGUUUGCCAAUAUCUGCUGUAAACCACCCAGAGUCCCCUUGGGGAGCUAGGGCGGGAUAUAAAUAAAGUUGUUGUUGUUGUUGUUGU